rnacentral:rRNA from 1 species
GACGAACGCUGGCGGCGUGCCUAAUACAUGCAAGUUGAGCGCUGAAGGUUGGUACUUGUACCCACUGGAUGAGCAGCGAACGGGUGAGUAACGCGUGGGGAAUCUGCCUUUUAGCGGGGGACAACAUUUGGAAACGAAUGCUAAUACCGCAUAAAAACUUUAAACACAAGUUUUAAGUUUGAAAGAUGCAAUUGCAUCACUCAAAGAUGAUCCCGCGUUGUAUUAGCUAGUUGGUGAGGUAAAGGCUCACCAAGGCGAUGAUACAUAGCCGACCUGAGAGGGUGAUCGGCCACAUUGGGACUGAGACACGGCCCAAACUCCUACGGGAGGCAGCAGUAGGGAAUCUUCGGCAAUGGACGAAAGUCUGACCGAGCAACGCCGCGUGAGUGAAGAAGGUUUUCGGAUCGUAAAACUCUGUUGGUAGAGAAGAACGUUGGUGAGAGUGGAAAGCUCAUCAAGUGACGGUAACUACCCAGAAAGGGACGGCUAACUACGUG